ACUCCAGCUCCAAAAGCGUAUAUUAAAGUUGCUGCAGUUAAAAAGCUCGUAGUUGGAUCUGGGUCGUGCGGUCGCAUGCCGYUGCUUGUUCACGGUUUUGGUUACGAUCAGGACGUGUUCGGCUCGGUGUAGUGGCUGUGCAGCCUUUCAGCCGUGUCUGUGUUAAACGGGUGCUGGUGGGUUGACGAGUUCGUCUUGUUGACCUGUCGGCAUGCUUCCGGAUGCCUUUAAACGGGUGUCGGGAGCGGACGGCAUCUUUACUUUGAACAAAUUUGAGUGCUCAAAGCAGGCCUGUGCGCCUGAAAAUUCUUGCAUGGAAUAAUGAAAUAGGACUUCGGUUCUAUUUUGUUGGUUUUCGGAUCCGAAGUAAUGGUUAAGAGGGACAGACGGGGGCAUUUGUAUGGCGGUGUUAGAGGUGAAAUUCUGGGAUCGAGCUAGGGUCUUAAAGUGGAG
rnacentral:rRNA from 1 species